AUGAACUUGAAUCCCAGUUGGAAGAAGAAUCGCAUGGAGGUUGGUUUUAUGAUUCUUUAGGGCUUACGUGAACUUCUAAAGAAAAAAGAGGAAACUUGUGAACCGCGUUUACUAUUUCAUGUCUGCAGUAUAAUGUCUUCUCAGUAUACAAAAGGUAAAAGUAAUGGAAAAAGGGAAUCCUAUUUCCAAACUUCAUUUGCUAGACGGGACGGCUAGCAGACUUUUGUGUAACCCAAGUAUUCUUUUCAUAUUCAGCGCUGUGAAGGAAGAGUAUCAAGAGAUAAAUAUGCAGUAUUUUUUUUCUGUCUUUCCACUUUGCUCAGCAGAUGCUCUCCAUGGAAUCACUGUACCUUGGUGGGCUGUUAUUAAGGCCAAUCUUUCUAACCACUUAUUCAAUGAGUACGAUAGUAUGUUGUACUUUCCUGUGAGAGACAAUGAGGAAGCUUGGAUACCAAUUGUACUGCCGAAUUUGGUGAAUGUGGAUCUUCUGCUUCAUCAUUGUUUGUCUGGCCUGGUAUAUCUCAAGGAAGGUAUAACGACUGUUUGUAGGAUUUGGAAGUGACUUAUGCAGAUAGCAGUGUAUUUUUUGUAGGAGAGUUUCUUUGACCUGAGUGAGUGUGAUUUUCAGAGAAAGAAUCUCUUUUGUCGCUUUCCUUUCCCAGCCUUCUCAAGUUUCGCUAGUAUGUAGAAAUUUGCAGAAGCAAUAGACAUCCUUGGUCUAUCCUGGUUUGAGGAUAGCAAUUGGCUGAUUACGCUCUGGUCUAUGGAAUUUUAUAUUCUAUAGAAGCUUAGAGAUUCUAUUGAUAUCAACUCUGAACAGUAUUUUGGCUUUUUUGUCGGUAUUUUGACCGUGCCGCUUGUAAUCUUCAUGCGAAGAAGAUUCAUGCAGGAAAGAAUCAAAAAUCGACUAGUUGACACAAUGUACUUUCCAACAAUGGUGAACGCGGUUCCAUCUUUCUCAAAAGUGAAAACACUCGUGUAUAGUGGGACUUCUUUAUUUCUUAGUUUUUCAUGUAAUCAAGCGUAGUUAGAAAAAAAAGAGAAGGGGAUGCUCUUGUUGUUUUAGAAAUUGCCAAUCUUGUUUUUUUAUAAAGGAAUGAGAUCCAACGUGAUCAAAGUUUCGUACUUGUUCAUUCCGUUAUAAAAAGAUUAAGUAGGCAAUGUUCACUUCACUUGGGAUCCUCUUUUCAUACUAACUAUUGUCCCUAUAGAGUGCAUAUUACCAACCCUACUUUAGAUUUGAGAAUUUGCAUAUUGGGAAUUUUUUUUCUCUCUCUUUUUACUAUACUUAUCG
rnacentral:telomerase_RNA from 1 species